UGGGGAAUAUUGCACAAUGGGCGCAAGCCUGAUGCAGCCAUGCCGCGUGUAUGAAGAAGGCCUUCGGGUUGUAAAGUACUUUCAGCGGGGAGGAAGGGAGUAAAGUUAAUACCUUUACUCAUUGACGUUACCCGCAGAAGAAGCACCGGCUAACUCCGUGCCAGCAGCCGCGGUAAUACGGAGGGUGCAAGCGUUAAUCGGAAUUACUGGGCGUAAAGCGCACGCAGGCGGUUUGUUAAGUCAGAUGUGAAAUCCCCGGGCUCAACCUGGGAACUGCAUCUGAUACUGGCAAGCUUGAGUCUCGUAGAGGGGGGUAGAAUUCCAGGUGUGGCGGUGAAAUGCGUAGAGAUCUGGAGGAGUACCGGUGGCGAAGGCGGCCCCCUGGACGAAGACUGACGCUCAGGUGCGAAAGCGUGGGGAGCAAACAGG
rnacentral:rRNA from 1 species